rnacentral:rRNA from 1 species
CCUACGGGCGGCAGCAGUGAGGAAUAUUGGUCAAUGGGCGCGAGCCUGAACCAGCCAAGUCGCGUGAGGGAUGAAGGUCCUAUGGGUCGUAAACCUCUUUUAUAAGGGAAUAAAGUGUGGGACGUGUCCUAUUUUGUAUGUACCUUAUGAAUAAGGAUCGGCUAACUCCGUGCCAGCAGCCGCGGUAAUACGGAGGAUCCGAGCGUUAUCCGGAUUUAUUGGGUUUAAAGGGUGGGUAGGCGGCUUUUUAAGUCAGUGGUGAAAGUUUGUGGCUCAACCAUAGAAUUGCCGUUGAAACUGGGGGCCUUGAGUAUGUUAGAGGCAGGCGGAAUGCGUGGGGUAGCGGUGAAAUGCUUAGAUAUCACGCAGAACCCCGAUUGCGAAGGCAGCCUGCCGGGCCAUGACUGACGCUGAUGCACGAAAGUGUGGGGAUCAAACAGGAUUAGAUACCCGAGUAGUC